rnacentral:rRNA from 1 species
CUGGCGGCGUGCUUAACACAUGCAAGUCGAACGCGAAAGGGGACCUCGGUCCUGAGUAAAGUGGCGGCACGGGUGAGUAACGCGUAGAUAACCUGUCUUCAUGUCUGGAAUAAUACGCCAAAGGGGUACUAAUACCGGAUAUUCUUGCUUUUCAUAAGUUAUGCAAGCAAAGGUGGCCUCUGCAUAUGCUACUGCAUGAAGAGGGGUCUGCGUACCAUUAGCUAGUAGGUGGGGUAAUGGCCUACCUAGGCGACGAUGGUUAGCGGGUCUGAGAGGAUGAUCCGCCACACUGGCACUGGAACACGGGCCAGACUCCUACGGGAGGCAGCAGUGAGGAAUAUUGCGCAAUGGGGGAAACCCUGACGCAGCGACGCCGCGUGAGUGAGGAAGGCCUUCGGGUCGUAAAGCUCUGUCAAGAGGAAAGAAGUGUACAAUGGCUAAUACCUGUUGUAUUUGACGGUACCUCUAAAGGAAGCACCGGCUAACUCCGUGCCAGCCGCGGC